AGGAGAGGCAUUGACUUCGGGAGAAGUCGUGACAGAAACAUUGAGACAAUUGCCCAUUAUUUUGUUUUUCCAAGGACCCAGAAAAUGGAGGCAGUGGGAUAACCUAUUCAAAGAGCUGUAAAUUCCUGUCUGCAGAUGAAGAGGUCCCAAUGAAUGUCACAAGAGAAUAAGAGUACAUCCGUGUAUACCAUUGGUUAUAUGUGUACCUAUGUUAACAAAUGUUGUAAACAAAAAAUACAGUACCACUGGAAUUCUUUUGGACAAUAAUGUCCUCCUCUAGGCUAGAUGGACAUAUCCCCUUUUUGUAGGCCUAGAAAAGAUGGUUGCAUUCAAGACAAUGUUGUUUUUUAUUUUAUUGAUCUGUUUGUCAAGUGUUAGUUAGCAGAGUAGGCCUAGGCUAUCCCUUGAUCUGUCAUAUUAAAAAAAUAUUCUGCUAAUGUCUUUGGUCAUGUAAAGAGUAGUGGAAUUGCAUGAAAUGUGUUUAUCAAAGACCACAUUUUUCCUGUGCAAAGGAGAGAAAAGAAAUGUCUCUGAUAGAGCCUAUAGGCCUAUGCCUCUACUCGCUCAGACACAGUGAUUAGAUUAUUAAUAGCCUAAUAAAUGAUGUCACUAUCCAAUCUACUCAUCACAUUAGGAAUAGUUGGCUUACAAAAUGUGAUGUUAGAUUCUUGCAAUGCUUUCUUAUAACGGUGCAUUUCUACAGUGAAAAAUUAUGCACUGCCUACUUCAUGAGAGAGACGCAAGCUAAAAGAUAACUUGUAGUCUAUCUCGCUAGCUAAUGUUGGCCAACUUAGUCUUCUUGUUAACACCUGGUUAGCAUAACAGCUAAACCCGAAAUCGAUCAGAUUUCCGAAUAAUUGAAUUAUUAGAGUAGACGUACUGACAGCUGUCUGGGUUCUGGUCUUGACGGGUAAAAAGGUUCUUGAGUCUUAAUUAUUUCCUUGGUGUUUCAUGAUUGUGGGUAAUCUGUAAAAAAUAUUUUUUUGCCCGUUGUCUUUCCUGCCUUGUUAGAGCAGCCAAAUACUGCACGAAAAUGUACAGUGGUGAUAAAUUAAGUCGUUUUGGGCACAGUUAUCGUGCAGCUAGGGGUAGCCAAUCAUCUGUGGUUGUCGCAAGAAUUGAUACUGUGGUCUUCCAACAUGUGGUCUCCCUCUGUGCAUGUAUACAGCUUUUUUUUAAUACCAUUUACAUUUUUUUUUAAAUAUAACCAUUUUAAAUGUGCAUUAAAGCUCCAUAGGCUUGAAUGGGCA